rnacentral:rRNA from 1 species
CACGUAUGGGGCAAGCGUUGUUCGGAGUUAUUGGGCGUAAAGGGCGUGUAGGCGGCUUUCGCAAGCUUGGUGUAAAAGGUUUCGGCCUAACCGGAACAGUGCGCUCAAGAACUGCGGAGCUGGAGUCUAGGAGGGGGAGCUGGAAUUCCAGGUGUAGGGGUGAAAUCUGUAGAUAUCUGGAAGAACACCGGUGGCGAAGGCGAGCUCCUGGCCAUAGACUGACGCUGAGGCGAGAAAGCGUGGGGAGCAAACAGG